rnacentral:rRNA from 1 species
AACGAACGCUGGCGGCACGUUUUAAGCAUGCAAGUCGAAUGGCAGUGGGGGCAAGCCCAUGAGAAUGGCGAACGGGUGAGUAACACGUAGGUGAUCUGCCUGACGGAUGGGGAUAGCUUGUGGAAACACAGGGUAAUACCGAAUGAGCUGACGAGACUGUGGUUUUGUUAGUAAAGGUGCUACGGGACCGCCGACAGAGGAGCCUGCGGCUGAUUAGCUAGUUGGUGGGGUAAAGGCCUACCAAGGCGACGAUCAGUAGCCGGCCUGAGAGGGUGUACGGCCACACUGGAACUGAGACACGGUCCAGACUCCUACGGGAGGCAGCAGCUAAGAAUCUUCCGCAAUGGGCGAAAGCCUGACGGAGCGAUGCCGCGUGAUCGAUGAAGGUCGAGAGAUUGUAAAGAUCUUUUCUACAUGAGGAAUAAGUCUGGGAGGGAAUGCCUGGAUGAUGACGUUAGUGUAGGAAUAAGCCCCGGCUAAUUACGUGCCAGCCGCCGCCGUAA